rnacentral:rRNA from 1 species
GAUGAACGCUGGCGGCGUGCCUAAUACAUGCAAGUCGAGCGAACAGACGAGGAGCUUGCUCCUCUGACGUUAGCGGCGGACAGGUGAGUAACACGUGGAUAACCUACCUAUAAGACUGGGAUAACUUCGGGAAACCGGAGCUAAUACCGGAUAACAUGUUGAACCGCAUGGUUUAACAGUGAAAGACGGUCUUGCUGUCACUUAUAGAUGGAUCCGCGCCGCAUUAGCUAGUUGGUAAGGUAACGGCUUACCAAGGCAACGAUGCGUAGCCGACCUGAGAGGGUGAUCGGCCACACGGGAACUGAGACACGGUCCAGACUCCUACGGGAGGCAGCAGUAGGGAAUCUUCCGCAAUGGGCGAAAGCCUGACGGAGCAACGCCGCGUGAGUGAAGAAGGUCUUCGGAUCGUAAAACUCUGUUAUUAGGGAAGAACAAAUGUGUAGGUAACUAUGCACGUCUUGACGGUACCUAAUCAGAAAGCCACGGCUAACUACGUG